rnacentral:rRNA from 1 species
GAUGAACGCUGGCGGCGUGCUUAACACAUGCAAGUCGAACGGAAAGGCCCAAGCUUGCUUGGGUACUCGAGUGGCGAACGGGUGAGUAACACGUGGGUGAUCUGCCCUGCACUUCGGGAUAAGCCUGGGAAACUGGGUCUAAUACCGGAUAGGACCACUUCUUGGAUGUUGUGGUGGAAAGUUUUUUCGGUGUGGGAUGAGCUCGCGGCCUAUCAGCUUGUUGGUGGGGGAAUGGCCUACCAAGGCGUCGACGGGUAGCCGGCCUGAGAGGGUGUACGGCCACAUUGGGACUGAGAUACGGCCCAGACUCCUACGGGAGGCAGCAGUGGGGAAUAUUGCACAAUGGGCGCAAGCCUGAUGCAGCGACGCCGCGUGGGGGAUGACGGCCUUCGGGUUGUAAACUCCUUUCGCUAGGGACGAAGCGUUUUGUGACGGUACCUGGAGAAGAAGCACCGGCUAACUACGUG